AAUACAAUUUAACAUUCUUUCAAAAAAAAAAAUAGCAACCAAAGCGGCUUUAUCCACCAGAAAGGCUCCAGUGGCUCAGCUCAACAAUGAUGUCUCCCAUGUCUUCGCCGAUCAACUUUCACAUCGCUACCUUGCAGCAGCUCGAUCUCACCAAACACCUUCUUCACGAACUACCUUGCAGCAGCUCGAUCUCACCAAACACCUUCUUCGCGACGAGGAACAACAGGAUCACUCACCACAAAUACACUAUUGGCUUCGGUCACAUCUUUAUCCUCUUUGAUUCUUUUUUUUCUGUUCUUAUCGUUUUUGUUUUCUUGCUUAUGUGGAGCUGUGAACCAAUUUUUUUUAGAAUGAUCUUUAUGGUAUGUUUAUUUCACAUGAAUACGUUCUAUUUUGAUUUUUGGACAUGCUCUUCACCGACAUAAUUAUGAAGAUGCGGAUCUUUAAUGAAGCCAUUAAUCGGAUUGCUACAGUUGAAGAGGACUUUCAGAAAAUGAUGGAGCUUAAAGCUCGUGCAGAGGCUGCUGAUAUCGCAAAGUCACAAUUCCUAGCCACUGUUUCUCAUGAGAUAUGUACUCCAAUGGUUGGUGUUCUAGGGAUGCUGAAGUUGCUGAUGGACAUUGAUCUUGACGCUAAACAAAUGGACUCUGCUGAAACCGCUCACGGCAGUGGGAAAGAUCUCAUAUCGUUGAUAAACGAGGUUCUUGAUCAGGCAAAGAUUGAGUCAGAAAGGAUUGAGCUCGAAAACGUGCCUUUUGAUCUCCGCUUUCUUCUGGAUAAUGUUUCAUCACUUCUCUCUGGCAAGGAUGCUGAAAAAGGAAUCGAGUUAUAACCACACAAACACAAGACAUCCUAUAGCAUGCCCACUCUUUCUCUAAUGAAUGUUUCUGUUUCUAGCAACUGUUUGUUUUGUGGCAAGAACAGUUGGCUAUUUAUGUUUCUAGCAAUGUUCGAGCUGUUAUAAUUGGUGAUCCAAGUCGGUUCCGAUAGAUAAUCACAAACCUUGAACUUAGUAAACUAUUGAUGAGGUGGUUACUUUCAAGCUAUGAAGCACGGGGACGGCAAUUCACUGCCGUAUCACGUACCAGCGGCGUUUCAGGGAUGGGGACGUGGUGGGGACGGUGUGGGAACGUUUCCGAAACGUUUCAGAGUCGGUGGGGACGGCAAAGAUUUGUGGAGACGGCGUAGUUAGGUUUUGGAAACGUUUCUGAAACGUUUCUAACGUAAACUCAGUAUAUUUUUUGUAAAAGAUUUGGUUAUUUGCUUUUUUUUAUGUCUUUAUUUUUGGAAAACAAUUGAAAAAGGAAAUACGUCCUUAGUUAAGCGUAGUUAAACGAUUACGAUUACAAAGUUUUAAACCAUUUUCUGAUCUCAAUCGUAAGCAAACUCUUAUUGUCUUCAUCUUCUUUCUUCAAUUGUCAAUUUUCAUCAUUUCUAAGAAAAACACUGUAAGCAUUAUAAUAAACUCUGUUUUUGGUUUGCCAAUUACGUAUGUGUUGUUUUGUGUUCUGCAAAUCAUAUGAUUCGGACCAACUGCUAAGCCCAUUGAUAAGGAAGAGAAAUUUGCUUUUUGCUCUUGCUAUACUGUUUAUUUA